rnacentral:pre_miRNA from 1 species
UGUUAAAAAUUUUAUCUAUUUGUACAUAUAAAAAUUGACAUACCCGACGGAAUAACCAGAUAAUGAGACGUGGUGUGCCACAUGUACGUUUUGCUGGCAUGUAGAAACCAAUUUUUGUUAGUAGAAAUUGAUGGUGUUUUUAACA